rnacentral:rRNA from 1 species
AAUGAACGCUGGCGGCGUGCGUAACACAUGCAAGUCGAACGUGAAAGUCUGCUUCGGCAGGCGAGUAAAGUGGCAAACGGGUGAGUAACACGUGGGUAACCUGCCCUCCUGUGGGGAAUAACCUUGCGAAAGCGGGGCUAAUACCGCAUGAAAAGUCGCUAUUAAUUAGAUGACUUUAAAGCCUUCGGGCGCAGGAGGAGGGGCCCGCGGCCCAUUAGCUAGUUGGUGGGGUAACGGCCUACCAAGGCGAUGAUGGGUAGCCGGCCUGAGAGGGUGUCCGGCCACACUGGGACUGAGACACGGCCCAGACUCCUACGGGAGGCAGCAGUGGGGAAUCUUGCGCAAUGGGCGAAAGCCUGACGCAGCGACGCCGCGUGGGUGAUGAAGUUUUUCGAAACGUAAAACCCUGUCGGGAGGGACGAAGCUCUGACGGUACCUCCGAAAGGAAGCCCCGGCUAACUCCGUG